AAAGGAAUAGACGGGGACCCGCACAAGCGGUGGAGGAUGUGGUUUAAUUCGAAGCUACGCGAAGAACCUUACCGAGGCUUGACAUCCCAGGAAGUCAGUCGAAAGACAGAUGUGCCUUCGGGAACCUGGUGACAGGUGCUGCAUGGCCGUCGUCAGCUCGUGUCGUGAGAUGUUGGGUUAAGUCCCGCAACGAGCGCAACCCUUGUCGUCUGUUGUCUUUUCAGACGAGACUGCCCGGGCCAACCGGGAGGAAGGUGGGGAUGACGUCUGGUCAGCAUGGCCCUUACGCCUCGGGCUACACACGUCCUACAAUGGGUAGUACAAUGGGCAGCCAAACCGCAAGGUGGAGCAAAUCCCAUCAAAACUACCCCCAGUUCGGAUAGAGGGCUGAAACUCGCCCUCUUGAAGUCGGAAUCGCUAGUAAUGGCGCGUCAGCAUAGCGCCGUGAAUACGUUCCCGGGUCUUGUACACACCGCCCGU
rnacentral:rRNA from 1 species